rnacentral:rRNA from 1 species
UACGUAGGGGGCAAGCGUUGUCCGGAUUUAUUGGGCGUAAAGAGCGUGUAGGCGGCCUGACAGGUCUGCUGUGAAAACUCGAGGCUCAACCUCGAGAUGUCGGCGGAAACCGGCUGGCUAGAGUCCGGAAGAGGAGAGUGGAAUUCCUGGUGUAGCGGUGAAAUGCGCAGAUAUCAGGAAGGACACCUAUGGCGAAGGCAGCUCUCUGGGACGGUACUGACGCUGAGACGCGAAAGCGUGGGGAGCGAACAGG